rnacentral:rRNA from 1 species
CGUGAGGAACCUGCCUUGGAGAGGGGAAUAACACUCCGAAAGGAGUGCUAAUACCGCAUAAUGCAGUUGGGUCGCAUGGCUCUGACUGCCAAAGAUUUAUCGCUCUGAGAUGGCCUCGCGUCUGAUUAGCUAGUAGGCGGGGUAACGGCCCACCUAGGCGACGAUCAGUAGCCGGACUGAGAGGUUGACCGGCCACAUUGGGACUGAGACACGGCCCAG